UACGAAGGGUGCAAGCGUUAAUCGGAAUUACUGGGCGUAAAGCGCGCGUAGGUGGUUCAGUAAGUUGGAAGUGAAAUCCCCGGGCUCAACCUGGGAACUGCUUUCAAAACUGCUGAGCUAGAGUACGGUAGAGGGUGGUGGAAUUUCCUGUGUAGCGGUGAAAUGCGUAGAUAUAGGAAGGAACACCAGUGGCGAAGGCGACCACCUGGACUGAUACUGACACUGAGGUGCGAAAGCGUGGGGAGUAAACAGG
rnacentral:rRNA from 1 species